rnacentral:rRNA from 1 species
GAUGAACGCUGGCGGCGUGCCUAAUACAUGCAAGUCGAGCGAACGGACGAGAAGCUUGCUUCUCUGAUGUUAGCGGCGGACGGGUGAGUAACACGUGGAUAACCUACCUAUAAGACUGGGAUAACUUCGGGAAACCGGAGCUAAUACCGGAUGAUAUUUUGAACCGCAUGGUUCAAAAGUGAAAGACGGUCUCGCUGUCACUUAUAGAUGGAUCCGCGCUGCAUUAGCUAGUUGGUAAGGUAACGGCUUACCAAGGCAACGAUGCAUAGCCGACCUGAGAGGGUGAUCGGCCACACUGGAACUGAGACACGGUCCAGACUCCUACGGGAGGCAGCAGUAGGGAAUCUUCCGCAAAGGGCGAAAGCCUGACGGAGCAACGCCGCGUGAGUGAUGAAGGUCUUCGGAUCGUAAAACUCUGUUAUUAGGGAAGAACAUAUGUGUAAGUAACUGUGCACAUCUUGACGGUACCUAAUCAGAAAGCCACGGAUAACUACGUG